rnacentral:sRNA from 1 species
UAAGCUCCUUUCCCAGAGAUAUUCUGGGCUCAAAGGAAUACAUUUGGGGAAUGGAACCUACACCUCAAAAGACCCAAGAGUUGGUCAUUGAUGUGGUUAGCAUUUCCAAUCACCUCCAUUUGUGAGAUAUGGGGACUAUGGUGCUGUGUCCCUAGCCAUCCCUUGGCCUUGGAGUCCUUCGAACUCAUUGAGCUGGAAAUAGAAGGCUUCAGAGAAUGGCACUGGGAAUGGAGCAGCUCUUCCCUUUUGCUUGAUAGAAGCUGCCUGCUCCUUCAGUGCUUCCAGAUACCAAGGUCUCUCUGCCCUCCCUUGGAAUUUAAGGACACGGGGUCUACUUCCUGGUGAAGGAAUCACAAAUUUUCACUGCUGUAUUUCCAAACUCUGGGGGGUCAGAAUGAAAACUUCUAGGUGUAUCCUAAGGUAGGAAUCUUGCCAGGAAGAAAGACUCACAAACUUUGUCACAAUUGGCUGAGUAAGAGGUAAUCUGGUCACAGGUAAUCAAUGAAAAAGGAAGAGAAACACUCGUACGAAGCCCUUCGCCUACAAAGUCCACAGGGAGAUGGCCUGUGAUCAACAGCGCGGAAGUGAGCUAAGAGGUCCUGAAGGAGCACAACUGUACCCUUUUCAUAGUGCAAAUUCUGAACCAGUUCAAAGAGAAGGUGUAGAAGCAAGGCAGACAGGGAUAACAACACUACCUGCAUCACUGAAAAUCCUUGGAAAUGCAAAACGGUUCAUGCCUGUGGAAUCCCAAACAUUUGACAAUCUGCAUGACAAUCCAUGGUCACCAGCUCAUCACAGCAGAAGCCAAAGUAACCUAAACAAACGCUUGGCCAGUCUGAACGGAUCCCGGCAGCGCUGAGACCUAGCCCUCUCCUUGAACAUCUGAAAACCUAGAGGGAAGGACAACCCUGGGUGUUGAGGCAUUGAGAUGAUGAUACAUUAUUAAAAUGUCACGGAUUUGAAAGCCCUAGGCAGAGAUGCUGCCUUCUGGUUACAAUGUAUCCCCAAUACCGCCUUGAAAAUGAGGCUCCUCCCUGGGCCCCACUAGCACAGGUUGUUGCCUCAUUCACUGCUCGCUGAACAAGCCUUUAGUUCUCUGCCGUGGUUUUCUGACACUGAGCCUUUUCACGUCUGCUGAGCUGCCUGUUCUCCCAGACAGAUGUUUUAAAGGAGACAGAGUCAUAACUGGGUAUCCUCAUUCCCUAUGACUGCUUAAUAAAGCUCCACAAACUGCUGGCUUAAAACAAGACAAAAUGUCUUACAUCUCCCGAGGCUGAACACAUGGUGUCAAGAUGCUGGCUGGGCCGUGCCCACUCCUCAGCUUUCGACAGUGGGCCCUUGCUGAAGUCCUCCAACUUCUGGAGCCCUAGGCAUUCCCAAACUGUUUGAAACCCAGCUCCCAUCUCUGCCUCCAUUUUUGUUUAUCCUUCCUCCCAAGACUGCAUCUUCCUUCUGAAUCUGUUUUUACAGGACAGUCGCCUCCCUAGAUCAACCCAUAAUAGAUAGGAUCGCCUCCAUCUUUGUGAUGCCAUUUUUAGCUCCAUUCUGUCUGCAAAGACCCUACUUGCAGAGAAGCACUCUUGCCUAGGUGCCUUGAGGACAACAGAGCUGUUGGGGAGACAUGGUUGAACCCACAGCGGUGAGGAGGCUGCCCCACUGACUCA